GAUGAACGCUAGCGGGAGGCCUAAUACAUGCAAGUCGAACGGUAACAGGGUAGCAAUACCGCUGACGAGUGGCGCACGGGUGCGUAACACGUACACAAUCUACCUUAUACUGGAGCAUAACCUCGGGAAACUGAGGCUAAUUCUCCAUAACAUAUUAAAAAGGCAUCUUUUUGUAUAUUAAAACUACCGGUGGUAUAAGAUGAGUGUGCGUCUGAUUAGCUAGUUGGUGGGGUAACGGCUCACCAAGGCAACGAUCAGUAGCUGGUCUGAGAGGAUGAUCAGCCACACUGGCACUGAGAUACGGGCCAGACUCCUACGGGAGGCAGCAGUAGGGAAUAUUGGACAAUGGGUGCGAGCCUGAUCCAGCCACUGCCGCGUGCAGGAAGACGGCCUCUGGUUGUAACUAGCUUUGU
rnacentral:rRNA from 1 species